AGAGUUUGAUCAUGGCUCAGGAUGAACGCUGGCGGCGUGCCUAAUACAUGCAAGUCGAACGAGGUGCUUUUGUAGCAAUACGAGAGUAUCCUAGUGGCGAGCGGGUGAGUAACGCGUUGGUGACCUACCCCAAAGUGUGGGAUAACAGUCCGAAAGGAUUGCUAAUACCGCAUGUGGUCAUUGGAUUUAGAAACUAAUGACUAAAGGAGCAAUUCGCUUUGGGAGGGACCUGCGUCCCAUCAGCUAGUUGGUGAGGUAAUGGCUCACCAAGGCGACGACGGGUAGGGGACCUGAGAGGGUGGCCCCCCACAAUGGAACUGAAACACGGUCCAUACACCUACGGGUGGCAGCAGUAGGGAAUAUUGCACAAUGGGCGAAAGCCUGAUGCAGCAACGCCGCGUGUGUGAUGAAGGCCUUCGGGUCGUAAAGCACUUUUCUGGGAGAUGAGAAAGGACAGUAUCCCAGGAAUAAGUCUCGGCUAACUACGUGCCAGCAGCCGCGGUAAUAC
rnacentral:rRNA from 1 species